ACUCGGUUACACUAAUGUAAACUAAUUUCACUAUAUAAGAAACUUAAAAAAGGACCACCUUCGCGCCCCCCCUUGUAGGCACGUCGCCCCCCGCCCCCCAGGGCAGGCGCGCCCCACAGGUUAGAACUGCUGCUCUAGCUCCAUGUUUUCCAGAAAUAUCAGAUGGAUGCCAUAGAUCCCACAUGGCUUGUUGAUAUAUUUGGUAUUUUUCUUACAUAUAUUAAAUAUUUUAGGAAUUUGGGAGGUAUAUCCUGAGUUAAACAAUGUAAAUCAGGAUACAUCAAAACAAUCAUAAAAAGGAAAAGGAAUAAAUGAUCGCUGACGAAUUGAUUUUCCUUUCCAAACAAGCUGAGUGUUUUGUCAAAAAAUAAGAAAAAGAAAAAAGCAAACAACAAAGAAACAAACACAAAAUCAAACACCAUCUUCUGAUUUUCAUCUUUUCACUUCUCGAUGCACCUUUACAACAGCACUUUCGUUUCCGUGUGUGCUAUAAAAACUUUUUCUAAAAAGUAGAUAAGUGUGUAACUAACAGCUACUAUAAAUUAAAACUAAAAUGUAAAUAAAAGCUAAACUUCAGUGCCGUCAAGGAGAUUUCAAAGGUAGAUAAUCGCAUUUCUUUAUUUUGCCAGGUUCUAGCUGUGACCUCUACCUGCGUGCACACGUGCACAAACAAAACACAGACGUGUGUGUGUGUGCGCGAGUGUGUUCAUUUCGAAGACCAAUCAUUCAAGGGAAGGAAGUGCUGCGGUGAAAAACGAAAUCAAUUGUCGAAAGAAUGAUUGAGCUUCUGUCAGCCUCGAUGACUUGGCAUGCUUGAAAAAAGCUGGUAAAAUAUCAAGCAUCUUACAAAUCAUCAUUGACAGCAGUUUAACCUGCACUCUGAAAAUGGGCCAACCAUUGUGGGAGAUCAAUGGAGCGACCCAGACCUGAUGAAGUAUCUUGGUGCAAAAUUGAUGAAAGAAUUUGGCAAUAAUUUUGAGGAAUACCGAUGUGAAGAUCCUCCAAGAGUGGUUUUGGACAAAC